CUACGGGUUGCACCAGUGGGGAAUAUUGCACAGUGGGCGCAAGCCUGAUGCAGCUAUGCCGCGUGUAUGAAGAAGGCCUUCGGGUUGUAAAGUACUUUCAGCGGGGAGGAAGGGAGUAAAGUUAAUACCUUUGCUCAUUGACGUUACCCGCAGAAGAAGCACCGGCUAACUCCGUGCCAGCAGCCGCGGUAAUACGGAGGGUGCAAGCGUUAAUCGGAAUUACUGGGCGUAAAGCGCACGCAGGCGGUUUGUUAAGUCAGAUGUGAAAUCCCCGGGCUCAACCUGGGAACUGCAUCUGAUACUGGCAAGCUUGAGUCUCGUAGAGGGGGGUAGAAUUCCAGGUGUAGCGGUGAAAUGCGUAGAGAUCUGGAGGAAUACCGGUGGCGAAGGCGGCCCCCUGGACGAAGACUGACGCUCAGGUGCGAAAGCGUGGGGAGCAAACAGGAUUAGAUACCCGCGUAGUC
rnacentral:rRNA from 1 species